rnacentral:misc_RNA from 1 species
GAUGAAGAACGCAGCGAAAUGCGAUACUUGGUGUGAAUUGCAGAAUCCCGUGAACCAUCAAGUCUUUGAACGCAAGUUGCGCCCGAAGCCAUUAGGCCGAGGGCACGCCUGCCUGGGCGUCACACGUCGUUGCCCCCCCAUCUACUCCUUCGGGAUUGCGGGGGGCGGAUGAUGGCCUCCCGUGCGCCUCGUCGCGCGGUUGGCAUAAAUGCCAAGUCCUCGGCGACGCACGCCACGACAAUCGGUGGUUGCGAAACCUCGGUGGCCCGUCGUGUGCGGUCGUCGCGCAUCGAGGGCUCGAAAAAAUUGCCGGGCUCCGGCUCGGCUUUCAACGCGACCCCAGGUCAGGCGGGGUUACCCGCUGAAUUUAAGCAUAUCAAUAAGCGGAGGA